UUUCAUUUAACAUCCCUUACACGAAAAACCAAACAAACGUACUUAAAAUAUAAAAGGUUAAACUAACUAAGAAAGAAAACUCGAAAAUAAACUAUGCGUAUGACUACAGAGUCUCUAGGCAUCCCCUUCGUCGUCCUCCUGCGGAACGGGCUCGGGAACCAUGUCUUCCUGAUCUGAAAUAGUUAAUUAAGGAGUGAGCUACACUAGCCCAGUAAGAACAUCACGAUAUCUCACCGUCACGGAGAUAAAGGUGGGUAGAAAACCACAAAAAGACCAAUGGAGCAUAAUUUACAAUAAACUCGUUUAU
rnacentral:lncRNA from 1 species